AGAUAUGCUUGGAGAAUAUUCUUCUAAUCUGAUGAUAGACGGUUAUUUUUCCGUUGCAGGUGAAUUUGAUAGCUAAACUAAGCCAUCCAUAUCUUUUAGAGUACAUAGAUGCUUGGGUGGACAAGGGGAGCUGUAUAUGCAUCGUUGCCGAUUAUUGCGAAGAUGAAAAUAUGGCGGAGGUCAUGAGGAAGUCUAGAGGAGCACUUUUCCUGGAAGAGAAACUCUGCAAAUGGCUGACUCAUCUAUUGUUAGCUUUGGAGCAUCUGCAUUCCAACCACGUUCAUCAUAGAGACCUCAAGGUAAAAACUUGCUGUAAUCGGC